AUCUGGCCUAAGAGCUGAUGUAAUGUCAAUGAAUUCAUCUUCUAAUACCUUCGCUUAGUAUCAACACCUCCAGCCUCACACAUUGUUCAAUUUGACAGAACUCAGUGCGCAAUCCCAUCAACAACCUACAACAAUGUGUAUCAAGAAAAAUUCAAACCUAGUAUUCAUAGUUUCCCCACACACUAGGCAUUAUUUUAACAGGAGAUACAAGGAACAGCAGAUGAAAGGCCAGGAAAGCGUGGAUGUGGGGAGGAUGUUUCCACUAGUGGGAGAGUCCAGGACCAGAGGCCAUAGCCACAGAAUAAAAUAACAUACCUUUAGAAAGGAGAUGAGAAUGAAUUUCUUUAGUCCGAGGGUGGUGAAUCUGUGAAAUUUAAUGCCGCAGACGUCUGUGGAAGCCAACUCAAUGGAUAGUUUUAAGGAGGAAGUUGGCAGAUUCUUGAUUAGUAAGGGUGUCGGGGGUUAUGGGGAGAAGGCAGGAGAAUGGGUUUGAGAGGGAAAUAUAUGAGCCAUGUUUGAAUGGCAGAGUAGACUUGAUGUACCAAAUGGAUUAAUUCUGCUCCUAGAACAUGAACUAAUGCUGAAAUCUUGAGUAAAAUCUGGCACUUGGUGUUCGAGCAUUAUAUUAAAACUUGCAACUGUAUCUCAAAGAUUUCACAAAACACCAGCUAUCCAGUUGUGACAAGAACAUCACUUUUGAACACAGUACACUGAAACACCUCUAGCUUUCUUGUAGGGAAAGGUGGCACAUAACUGGUGGCAGAGGGAGCUAACCAGGAAAGAAAUACAUGGCCAAAUGACCUUACUUCCAUGGAAGAGAUAAUGCCAUCUGUCAUAGCAUUGACCAUUGUUGGGGCCCUGGCCAGAGCUAGGGCCAGGUUUCAUCUGAUGUUGGCUGACGAAACAGGAUCAAAUGUACUCAUCUCCUUGGAAUAGAGUGUUAGUUACGUUGCUCAGGCAACAGGAGAUGGCAAACAACAUGAUGUGUAAGAACUGCAGAUACUGGUUUAAACUGAAGAUAGACAUAAAAUGUCGGAGUAACUCAGUGGGACAGGCAGCAUCUCUGGAGAGAAGGAAUGGGUGACGUUUUGGGUCGAGACCCUUCUUCAGCUGCUGUUAAUGUCACUAGUUAUAGUUUGGUGAAGCACAAUUUGUAUAAGAUAACGGCCCCAGUCACCUUGAAAGCCACAAGCAAUCCAGACCUCUCCUUCUCCUCUCUGGUCCGUGAAUUAAUUGUUCAUUCCUCCAAACAUGCUGGAUUCCAAAGGGAAUGCCUACCAAAGCGCAUGUGUCUAUGAAAAGGUCGCUGAAGACAGAUGUAAAAUGUGGAGGCUGGUGCAACAUUCAUCGAACAUCCCAGUGCAGUUCAAUGACGUUUCCAGUGGGGGGCAGGAGCUCUGGUACCACCAGCUUAUCACUGAAGUCUGAUUUUCAUUGGAAGGCCAUGAAAGUGAGUGACGAGCUGAUCCACAAGGAGAAGUUCAAAUGAGUAUUCGUUGACAUCCCAAAUCGCAUCAAUUUUAUGAGGCUUCUUCCCAGCUGUUAUCAGGCAACUGAAUCGUUCACUCACCAACUAGUGAGAGGUCCUGACCUCCCAUCUACUUCAAUGGAGACCUUCGGGCUAUCUUUAAUCAGACUUUACUGGACCUUAUCUUGCAUGAAACGUUAUUCCCUCUAUCCUGCAUCUGUACACAGUGGACGGCUUGAUUUUAAUAACAAAGUCUUUUCGCUAACUGGAUAGCACGCAAUAAAAAAGCCUUUCACUGUAGAAACAAAGAAAUGCAGAUGCUGGUUUAUACCAAAGAUGAACACAAAUUGCUGGAAUAACUCAGCGGGUCAGGCAGCAUUUCAGGAGAACAUGGAUAGUGAUAUUUCGGGUCGGGACCCUUACUUGGCCUGGUUUGUAUUGAAUUUUGUAAAUAUGGAAUGGUUUGUGAUGAGGAGCGCGCUCCCGCUGGACAGGG